UGUGUACCAACAGGGAAAGAUCUUCAAAAUAACACUGAAUAAAGAAAGCAAAUUACAGAACAGUAAAUACAAUAUAAUACUACUUAUGUAAAAUAAAACAUUUCUGUUGUAUAAACAUACACAUGUACACAUAUCUAAAUAUCUGGCUGGGGACUUCCUCCGUGGUCCAGUGGGUAAGACUCCAUGAUCCCAAUGUAGGGGGCCUGGGUUCCAUCCCUGGUCGCGGGGAAAUAGAUCCCGCAUGCAUGCCACAACUAAGAGCUUGCAUGAUGCAACUAAGAGUUUGUAUGCCACAACAAAGAUCCUGCAUGCCGCAACUAAGACACAGGCAGCCUAAAUAAAUAAAUAAAUGUUUUUAAAAUAAUAAAAAAAUAAAAAUCUGGCUAAUAGAUGCACUUACCUUGGGAGGAGACUGAGCCUGGGCUUUUUCUAAAGGGAAAGUUGGACUUUUUCUAAAGUGUAGUUGGAAUUUUUUAAACAGUGUAUUCUUGUCUCAUUUGUUUAAUUUAAAAUAAACUUAAUUUUAAAAAUUAUGGUGAUAGGAAAUUUUGAUUUAAAAAAGUAUAUUUGAAAACACUUCUACAGUGUGGAAUCAUUUUUACUUAGUAAAACACUUUUUAAAAAUUUAUUUUUGGCUGCGUCGGGUCUUAGUUGUGGCAUGGGAGAUCUUUUCAUUGUGGCAUGCGGGCUCUUCGCUGCGGCGCCUGGGCUUCUCUCUACUUGUGGCGCAUGGACUUCUCUCUAGUUAAGGCGCAUCGCACUGGCUCAGUAGUUGCAGCGCGCGGACUUAGUUGCCUGGAGGCAUGUGGGAUCUUUGUUCCCUGGCCAGCGAUCAAACCCGCGUCCCCUGCACUGGAAGUCGGAUUCUUAACCACUGGACCACCAGGGAAGCCCCCAAUAAAAUACUUUUAUAUGUGUGUAACUAGAAGGUAAUACAUAAAAACAUUGAAACUCUCUGGAUGGUAGAAUCAUGGGUAGUUUUUAAUACUUGAUGUGUUCUAUAUGCUUUUAUAUUUUUAAUGUUUUUCUUUCACAGUGAACAACACAUUUUUAUAACAGAAGCAGUUAUCUAAAGAGAAAACAAAGAGGCCCUCUGAUGAAGUCAUGCAACACAUACUGGACACCCAAAAAAAUGGCACCUCAUAUAGGAUUUGGAGAAUGUUUGAAUUACAGGCCUAUAGCCUAAAAUAUAAAAGGAACUAACAUAGUGUCGUAGAUCAACUCUACUUCAAAAACAUACAAACUCACAGGAAAAGAGAUAAGAUUUGUGGUUACCAGAGGCGGAGAGUGGGGAGAAGGGGAAUUGGAUGAAAGCAGUCAAAAGGUACCCAAACUUCCAGUUAUAAGUUAAAUAAGUACUAGGGAUGUAAUGUACAACAUGAUAAAUAUAAUUAACACUGCUGUAUGUUACAUAUGAAAGUUGUUAAGAGAGUAAAGCCUAGGAGUUCUCAUCACACAAAAAUUUCUAUUUCCUUAAUUUUGUAUCUAUAUGAGAUGGUGGAUGUUUACUGAACUUAUUGGGAAACUGUUUCAUGAGGUAUGUAAGUCAAAUCAUCAUGCUGUACACCUUAAACUUAUACAGUGCUGUAAAUAUAUGAGUAAAACUGGAAGGAAAAAAAAAGACCUCUGAACUGAAUCCUCGGGUCUAGCCCUAGCUCUGUCACUAGUUAGCUUUGUAACCUUGAGCAUAUCACUUAUCUCUGUGUUUUCAUAAAAUGUCCUACACAAAGAAUAUAAUUUAUAUCAAAGUAUUGUUCAAAUAUGAGGUAAUACUACUAGGGAAAAGAAAAAAAACUUGGCAUUUGAGAUUUGGGAUGGUAGGGAAAUAACUUCCUUGAUUAAAUUCAGUGUGUACUGUUAGAGAAGGCAGCACGGAGAAAAUUGGUCAGGAUUCAUUCCACCAGAGCCAGGCAGGUAGCAUGAAUAUGUGAAUUGGGACUAUCUAAGACUUAGGGAAUAGAUGGAGUCUGUGACAAAUCUCUGUGUGUCUCUUGUUUAAAAAUUCAGGUUAAUAAAAAAAAUACCAUGGGGGCUAUACUGAACAAUUCUGUAGGCAGGAUUCUUCCUGCAAGUCCUGGUUUUCGACCUCUGGUUUAAAGGAAAGAAUGCUGGACCAGAAAUGGAAGUCCUAGGUCUGCCAUUAACUAGCUGAACAAUCUUGGGCAGGUCAUUAGAUCUCCCUCAGCUUUAGUUCCCUCAUCUGUGUAAGUUGAACUAAAUCCAUCUGUAACAACCCUUCCAGUUUCUGAGAAUUACUUUCUUUUAUGUUAAGAAGCUUAUAUUCUGAUGGCAGCAAACUAAUUCACCUGAGUGUAUUUUCUAUCUCACUAUUACCCCUCCUAGGCAGUUGCUCUCUCUUACUUCUGUUGUUAGCCUAAUAAGGGUUAAGACACAGAUCCAAGGAAGACAAAGAAUUCUGUGAUACUUUGAGGAAUUAUCUUAGGUUUAUUUAUUAGAUUGGCUUGGCUAGAGAAACUAACUAUGACUGAUGCAAAACUUAUUAAGGAGAAACUAGGAAAGAAAAUGUAAUGUGUAAAAUGAUUUUCUGUCUUUUAAAAUUCAGGAAAAGAAACUUCCUCUGAGAAUAAAUAUUACUCCUUUGUAAGUAUUAAUUACUCCUCACAAAAUCCAAGGCAAGGAGGAGGAUAGUAUUAGCUCCAUUUUAUAGUUUAGAAGUGGGAAGUAUCUUAAUAUUAUGAGCUAAGUGGGCUGAGUUAACAGCAAAAUCAUGGACUCCAGGAUGAAGCCUGGAUUCCAUCUAACCUCCUUACGUAUUCAACCUGCUGCCUCCACCAAGUCAGAAUACACAAGUACACUCUCCUCACGUUUCCAUAUGUCCACAUCUUUUCUGUGUCAAGGUCCAGUUUAAACACCCCUCCUCCACAAAGCCCUCCCUAAUCCUUAAGCAGAAAUCCUUUCUACCUUGUAAUUAUUUUUUCCUUCUAGUACUGAAGACUACUUAAGAGUACAAUCCACAUUUGGUUCAUCCUUAUGUACCAUUCAGCAGAGUGUCCCAUGUAAUAGGCACUCAAUGAUGUUUGAUGGCCAGCUGGUGAGAUAGAUAAUGAACUGAUAGAUGAAUGAAGGAAUGACUAGAAGACUUUUUUUAAAAUUAUAUUUAUUUAAUUUAUUUAUUUUUGGUUGUGUUGGGUCUUCGUUGCUGGGUGUGGGCUUUCUGUAGUUGCAGCGAGCAGGGGCUACUCUUUGUUGCAGUGUGCAGGCCUCUCAUUUGCGGUGGCUUCUCCCGUUGUGGAGCACAGGCUCUAGGCGCACGGGCUUCAGUAGUUGUGGCAUGCGGGCUUUAGAGCGCAGGCUCAGUAGUUAUGGCACACGGGCUUAGUUGCUCCACGGCAUGUAGGAUCUUCCCAGACCGGGGAUCGAACCCGUGUCCCCUGCUUGGCAGGCAGAUUCUUAACCACUGUGCCACCAGGGAAGCCCUGGACGUCUUUUUUUUCCUAGCAGCAUGUGCAUAACUAUAUUAAGUGUGGCCUUGUACUUGGUUUGCAUUUUAUUUUUUUAUUUGAUUCUUAACAAAUUAUUUUAUAACAUGAAGUUUUUAAAAACAGCCUUCAUCUUUCUAACAUUCUAAUUCUCUUACAUCUUUAGGUAUCAAAAUUUAGAAUUUCAACAUUAUAUUUAUGGCAUUGCUUUUACCAGCUUAAUUUUCAUGAGCCUUGGCUGGGACUUGGAAACAAUGCAUCUUGUUUUGAUGACUUUCUGAUGGGCCAGAGGCCUCAAAUGGAUGUCACAUGCUGUUUGAGCAGAUCUAACAAAGAAAAAGACAGACAGUUGAUCCCUCUUUGUUUCAAGGAACCUCCCUCUCUCCCCCUCCCUUCUUCCCUCCCCCCCCCCCCCGUUAGGUUUAUUUUGAUUCUGGAAAUAUUCUCGAGCUUCAAGGACAAGUUAUAGUUUCCUUUCUUAUAUCUACUUAAUCACAGUAGCAUCUAGUAGAUUCUCGAUUAAUAUUGGAGUAAAUGAAAAAAUGAACAGCAGAAAGCAUUGUAGCAAAGUGGAAAUAGCAUGAGCCUCUGAGUAAGAAAAACCUAGUUUGAAUACUGGUUCUAUCUCUUAUUUUCAUCUUGGAUAAAUUACUUGACUGAGUCCCUGUGCUCUUAUCUGUAAUAUGGAGAUGAUGAUACUUAAGAUUUUUGAUACUCUUGUUUUAAAAUAUUUGUCAACAUACAUUCUGAUUUUUUGUCUGGAAAAUGUGGUCAUCAUAUUUUAGUUCUUAGACUUUUCACCAUGGAAUUUUAAAACGAUAUACUCCUGGACACAUUUUUAAAAAUGAAAUGUACAGACAUGAGAUUUAGAGGAAAUCAAUGUAAUUUAGUCACCAAUUUGUAUAAUUAUGAAAAAUAAGAACACCAAAUGCUAUGUUUUUAAAGAUUUCCUAUGAUUCACAUCAGAAAAUCAACGAGUCUUGAACCAGACUUUUUCAGUUGUUUACUUGCUGCUUUGAGCUUAUUUUUCUGACUAUUCAUAAUUUAUGUAGCUUAUGCCUAUUCUUAAUUAUGUAGAUAAUUAAUAAUUUGAGAUCAUGAGUAUCAUAUUGCACCAUUAGAGUUUAUUAGUUACAAUCAUAGUGUAAUGUAUUUAGUAGGAUAUGGCUAGAUUUUUAUCUCAUAUUUUCCAUAUGCCUUCACUGAUACUUAUGACUAGUAAUGCAUUAUUUAAUAUGGAAUAUCUACUAUAGUAGAAAUCUGGAAGAAAUUUUAAAUACUCCCAUACUACCAAACAGGUAGUAUGGUAGUAUUUGCCUCCCAGUUUCUCUUGAUCUUCUCAUUGUUUUCAUACAUUUCUCCAAUUGCUUUUAAAAUAUCUUCAUUCAUUGAUUUAUUAAUUCUAAAAAUAUAUAUUGAACACUACUAUGUGUCACAUACUGUGCUAGGCAAUAAGCACAUACUGUUCUAGGCAAUUAUGUGUGCAUUGAUGAAUAAAGCAGACAGUUCCUUCUCUCAUGAAGCUUAUUCUAUGUAGUAGUGAAGAUAGAAUUAAGCAUGUAUGCAAAUUUGUAAUUACAAAUUGUGAUGGUUCUCUGACUGAAACAACAGGGAGCAGUGCUUAAAUUGGAGAUUAGGAAAGGCCUCCCUGAAGAAGUCAUACUUAUUGAGGAGGGGCCCGCCAUAAGAAAAUAAGGAAAAGAGUAGUGUAAGCAAAGAGAAUAGCGUGUUCAAAGGCCCUGAGGUGGAGAGAGUUUGGCAUAUUUGAGAAUUUGAAGGAAGGCCAGUGUUUCUAGAUCAACGUGCCGUGAGACAGAAUUUAAAAAACUAGAGAAGUAGGCAGGGGCCCUCCUUCUGUGCUCCAUAUCACCAUGUUAAGAGAGCACUCUCUCUAGUUGUUCCUAUACCCACCUAACCUUAUGUAAAUAUUAUUAAACUUUUUUGCUGGGGGAGGGAGCGUUGGCUUUUCUUUUUGUAGUGUAGGCUCUAGGCAUAGGAAUACACACUGAUUUUUAUUGUUGCUAUUGUAUUGUUUCUUGGAUAGGAGCCAAGUCUUCAUGCUAAUGUUGUACUGUGCCGUUAUGUCCAGUGGGUACUAAUAGUCACCAAUUCCUUUUGUGAGAUGCUAAAACAAACGUAAAUCUCUAAACUCUCAGUUUUCUAGAAUCAGAGCUGGAAUUAGUCUAAAACAAACAUGUACAUAAUUCAAAAGAAAUUGUUUUAUCCUUCUAUCACUUUGAAAACCAGAAAGCAAGCAUGUCUAAUGGACCCCUGCUUUUCAUCACUGUUUUUCUGUUUUUAAAAAAUGAAUCAGGGCUUCCCUGGUGGCGCAGUGGUUGAGAGUCCGCCUGCCGAUGCAGGGGAUACGGGUUCGUGCCCCGGUCCGGAAAGAUCCCACAUGCCGCGGAGCUGCUGGGCCUGUGAGCCAUGGCCGCUGAGCCUGUGCGUCCGGAGCCUGUGCUCCGCAACGGGAGAGGCCACAACAGUGAGAGGCCCUCAUACCGCAAAAAAAAAAAAAAAAGAAUCAGACUUAUUAAAGGAUUUGGCUGAAAUAAGAGUCUCCCUAUGUUUUACUAAGGUGUUCAUUUCAAUGUGCUAUAAUUUAACUAUUUACCUGUUGUUAGAUAUUUGAGUUGCAAUGUGUAUAGUUCUAUAGGGAAUAUUUUGGACAUAAAUCUUUUCAAAAAAAUUUUUAUUGGAGUAUAGUUGAUUUACAAUGUUGUGUUACUUUCUGCUUUAUAGUGAAGUGAACCAGUUAUACAUGUACGUAUAUCCACUCUUUUUUAGAUUCUUUUCCCAUAUAUGUCAUUACAGGGUAUUGAGUAGAGUUCCCUGUGCUAUACAGUAGGUCCUUAUUACUUAUCUAUUUUAUAUACAGUAGUGUGUAUAUGUCAAUCCCAAUCUCCCAAUUUAUCCCUCCCCAGCUUUCCCCCAGUAACCAUAAGAUUGUUUUCUACAUCUGUGACUUUAUUUCUGGUUUUUUAAUUUUUUAUUUUUUUACGUAAAUCUUUAUAUACAUCUCAGAUUAUUUCUUUAAAAUAAAUUCUGGAAUUUCCUCAGUCAAAGAUAAUGAACAUCUUCAAGAUUUUUUUGAUACAAUAUCAGAUUACUUUUCAGAAAAAUUUUACUAUUUUAUACUCACAGCCAUUGGUAUAUGAGAGUUCCUCUUUCUCUUUUCCUUAAUAGCUUUGGAAACAUUUAUAGUCUCUUAUCUUUGCCAGUCUGAAGGAUGAAAAUUGUAUCUUGUUUUAUUUUGCAUUUUUGAUUAACUAAUGAAGUAGGAUAUGUUUAUGUUCUGAUAUUGUUUUAAAAAUCAAAUGCAUCAGAAAGCACUAAUGUAGAUAGGAUAAUAUACGUUUAUUCCACAUGGGUAUAAAAAGGAUUUGCUUACAAAUGGCUGCAAGAGAGUAUGUUUUCAAAUCUUAUUAUCUUCAGAGACUAGAUGUAAACUUUCAAGCUCUAGCCAGUGUUCAAUAGUAUAUUAACAUUGUGAAUCCAGUGUCCCAGAACAUAAAUUUGACAGUUCUCUGAAAACACUGGAACACAGAUGGAAAAUUCAACAGCCCUUCUUCAUUGACUUGCUUAUGAUCUACCAAUGAGCAAAAUGCAGCAAGACUGCCAGCUGCUCUGCAUCUGCAAACAUUUGUGCAGAACUAAUUUUAAUAGCAGAUGAUGGAAAUUAAAAAAAAAAUGCAGCCUCCCCUCUGAGAAAGUCAGACCUAUCCCGUGACUUCUCAGAUGCCCCAUAACCCUGUUAGCCAGAGUUUCAUUCCUAAAAUUCCAUAUAUUACUUCCCUUCCUUCUCAUGUGAGAAGUUUUAGAAAUGUUUAAGGGAAUCUCACAACUUCAGAAAGUCUUGAUACUCCUUUAGUUGCCACCCUAUGAUGUUGUCAUAUUUAGAAGACUCUGUGUACAAUUAGAGUUCACCCAUGAAAGAUUCUAUUUUGACCUUUAAAGAUACCCAGACUUCAUUUGUCUUAUAUCCAUCAUAAAAAAGCCUGCUUCUUCAUAUAGUAUUGAGGUAAAAAUUACAGGUAAUGAAAAGAAACUUUAAAACUAUUUUUUUAAUCAAAUGGAUGAUGAAGGAGUGGUAAUUCCAGUAGGAAUUUGAUGAAUCAGUGUCUGAAUGAUGCCACGUACAGGUUUUGGGUUUAUUGUAUCAGUAUUUCAGGUCUCCAAAGGAACUCACACAGGCCCAGAUGGGUGCCUCUGUGACACUUGUCAGUAUCUUCAUUCAAAUGUCAGAGUUUAGUCAAAUCUGUUCUUUUUUUCUUGGACUUGCUUACUGCUGAAAGACUAAAUUCCUUCAUUAUUAUUAUUUGAUUUUUAAGUUUAUUUUUUAAUUUUUUAAACUAGAUAAUGUAUUCAUAAGAUUCAGAAUUCAAGAAGUUAUGAAAGGGUGUAUAGUGAAGAGUCUUCCUACUUCUGUCCCCCAGCCACUCACUCCUCUUCUUCACAUAAAACUAAUGUUAUUAAUUUUCUGUGUCUCUAAAAGUACUCUAUGUAUAGACAAGCAAGUGUGUGUGUGUGCGCGCGUGCCUUUCCCCUUUUUUAUACUAAUGGUACCAUACCAUCUACAAUAUUCUGUACCUUGCUUUUUUUCACUUAGUCUAGCUUAGAAAUGCUCCAUAUUAGUACAUAAAAAGCUCCCUUGUUUUUAUUAUUUCUAGAUAGGAUUCCAUUGCAUAGAUGUACUUUAAUUUCCAGUCUCCAGGCUUUUGUUUUUAUAAUAAAUGCUGCAGUGAAUAACAUUAGGAAAAUGUCAUUUCACAUAAUUAUAAUAAAUUUCUAGAAAUAGAGCUGCUGGGCCAAAGGGAAGGUAUAGUUUUAUUUUCAAUAGGUAUAAAGCUAGAAUGUGACCCAAGGGUUCAACCUUAAAAGCCAAACCUGGAAAGAAACAGGUCAUAGUUAACUGACCAGAGAUUCUGAUCUGUAUCACUAAAUGAGAUAGCUUUGAAAUAUUUUUCUUUAUGUAAGUAAAAAAGGCAAUGAAAAUACUAAAGGAUUACUUUCAGUAAUGAUUACUUUUCAGUGGUGACCAAUAACUCUAAUUCAGCACUUUAAAUUACUUCCUUAUUACCACAGAUAGUUCAAGGCAAUUACAUAAUUCUAAGAAAGUUCACUUAUUCAACUUGCUACCAUCCUAAAUACUGCUUUGCAGUUUAAAAAAAAUUAAUGAUCGACAUUUUAAAUAGCAUCAUGAUUUUAAACUCAUUCACAAUAUACUAGGUAUAAACAUUUAUUUAGUUCCUAAUCUUUGAAGACAUUGUCCUUGCCCUCAGUAUAGUAAUAUAAACUAUAUUAGUAGUUUAUAAUCUGGGCAAAAAUUCAGAAAGGAUUCUUUUCGUUCUUUAGUGUUACGUAUCAUGAUCUGUACUUUAUCUAUUUCUUUAUUUUCCCAUCAAUAAAUGGUACACUUGGCUAGCAUAUUUUCAGAUGCUUAUUUGCAGUCUGUAUCUUUUCUUGGUGAAGGGUCUGUUCAGAUAUUUUGCCUAUUUUUUAUUAAGAUAUAUGUCUUUAUAUAUUGUGUUGACAAGCACUUUGUCAGACGUAUUUUGCAUAUAUUUCUCCCCAGUCUGUGGAUUACUUUUUGUUUUCUUAAGUGUGUCUUUCAAAGAGCAUAGUUUUUACAAACUUUUUCUUUUAUGGUUAGUGCUUUUUGUGUCAUUAAGAAAUCUUUGCCUAACCCAGUGCUGCAAAGAUUUUCUCCUGUAUGUUCUUGUAGAAGUUACACCUAUAUUUUGGUAACCAUUUAUAGUUGUCACAACUUGCUUUCCCAGUUGAGGAAAUUAGGCUCAGAGAAGUUAAAACAAUUUGCCCAAGGUCAUUUAGUCGUUAGUUGUCAUUAUCUCUAACUAAUUCUAAAUUCUGUGCUUUUCUUGCUGUACAAGUUUGUGCAUAUUAUGUCAGAAUAUGUACAUAGGAAGAUCAUAAACCCUGCUGGUCUGACAUAUCCUAAGGCUAAUCAUUUAGUUUGUCAGUUCCCAAGACCUUGCCUUCUCUCAUUUCCUGCUGGGAUCUACCAUUUGUUUAGCCCAUCAAUCAGAGGGCAAGCAAGGGAGAAAUUGUUAAAUUUACUAAAAUCAAAUGUUAUUUUCUUAGUGCCUCAUAAAAGAUAUUGUCUAACUACUUAGAUUCAGUCCAAAUUUUGAUUUAUGGCCCACAGUAUUAGUAAUGUAAGAAUGCAUCUUGAAUAGUCAGCCAACAAAUAUUUAUUGAGUGCCUAUUAUAAAUGCCAGGCAUUAUGUGUAGUUGCUGGGUAUAUAGAAUGAAUGAAUUAGGUACACUUGAUCUUUUUCCUCAUGAAACUUAUAGUCUAGAGCAGCAGUCCCCAAUCUUUUUGGCACCAGGGGCGAGUUUUGUGGAAGACAGUUUUUCCACGGAUGGGGUGUGGGGGGAUGGUUCAGGUGGUAGUGGGGAGCAGCAGAUAAAGCUUUGCUUGCUUGCCCGCGGCUCACCUCCUGCUGUGCAGCAGGUUCCUCACAGGCUGAGGACGCUACCACAGCCUGGGGGUUGGGGACCCCUGGAAAGGAGUAGCUUUCAAAUUCUUAUGACUGAGAUUCACAGUAAUAAAUACAUUUUACAUUAUGACCUGGUAUGCUUGUGUAGGUGUUCUUGUAUACAUGUCUAAAACAAGUUUCAUGAAACAGUUCUUCCUUUUCCUUCAUGCAGUCAGUGUACUCUGAUAUUUUCUAUUCUAGUUAGUUUAAAAAAAAAAAAGUAUGUUGCUACAGACCUCUAAAUUGAUUUCACAAGCUGCUCAUGGGUCUCUCAGCCUGCAGUUUGAAAAAAAAUGAAUAGAAGCUGGUUCAUUACUGUGUUUUGGGAAGACUUACAGACUGUGGUUUGUUGCCAGGGGGCUUGCUGGGAGAACAUGAAUAUAGUGUUUGCUUCUUGAGAUUCCCAGCUGCCCUUUGGUCAAGUGGGACAGUAAGUAUAACUAUACUUUCCCCCUAAACACACCAAAACUUUCAAAAUUUCAAAGGAAGCGCUUACUUACUUCCUUUGUAAGAUUCUGUAGUGCUGGAAAUGACAAUGCUUCUCUUCUUGUUCACAAAAUUAUGAGGCCUAUUAUAGAUUUAGGAAUAAGUGGGAAAUAACUAGCUAAGGAAAUUUGUCGCUCAAACUAAUGCUAAAACAUACACAGAAACCUGAAAAACUGUUUCAGUAAGAAAAUUUAAAAGUUUCUUUCUUCAUUGAUUGUUUGGAAUUGAGGAAACUGGGUAUCCUGAGUGGUAUUACUUGGCUGGAUAUAAAUUAUGAACAGUCCUCAGAGAAGGGAGUUUUAUGAACCCUCACCACAAGUGACCUUUUUAUCAAAAUAUAAAACUGCUUCUUACCUUUUAAGCAGACAAUUCAGAACUUCAGAACAUGAGAGGGGUCUAUCCAUUUAUCUCAGUUUGCAGUUAUUUGAGGAUUAGAGAAGAAAGGAUGUUGCUUCAGAAAUUUGAAAUUAGAGACUUUUAAUCAGAGGAAGUUUUAUUCUGUGACAUUUUUUAGUCUGAUUUCUACUCAGAAUGGACCUAAAAGUCGAGUUUUUGGUAGUGAAGAUUUUUGUUUUUUAACUCCCAAUGGGAGUGUAACACUAUAGCAGGGUGCUUUUUUACUUUGAAUCUUUCUAACCACCUUCCUUUGAAAAAUCCACAUAAGCUAAUUAACAUUGAUUUGAGGAAUUACAGAAAAUAUGGUCCAGAUUUAAAGUUUCUGGAGGGUGUAAGUUUCCGUUGUAUUUCCUGAUGGCCUGGUCCCCUUUCUAAUGGAAUUAUUUUAUUGUGGCAAAGGGGUGAUAGUAAAUUAUUGUAUUUUAAACAAUAAUUUUCUAAGAUGCACGUGGUUUAAAUACCAACCAAGAAUACCAGUGUUCUCAUACAAAUAUUUGUUCUCCAUCUAGACAGUGGGAAUAGUGAGAAUAACAAAAUGGGCUUAGGACAGUUCCCAAGUCUAAGGCUUCUCAGGUUUUUGUUUUGUUUUGUUUUGUUUCUCCAGUUAGAAGAAACUAGUGUAUUUGGAAAGAAAUUCCUUGGUUAUGAGAAACAGAGACCAUCAUCUUUAGAGGAUAUGUUAACAUGAGAACUAAGAUCUUUCUCUACAUGGAAUGAACAUUUUCCUUCAGAGAAGUUAUCCUCCUGGGAGGGGAUUUUCUGCUGGAAUAUCCCUAUUUCUGACAAUCCUGACCAGGCUCAGACAACUCUGGCUGUCAGAACUUGACUGAUGUCUGUGAGACACGGCACUUUUCACUUUGCUUUGCUCAGGGUCCCUGCAUGGGCCUGGAGUUCUUCCUUGUGCUGACUGAUGUCCCAUAUAAGAAGUCCAUGCAUAAGCUCCAGUUUUUCUCUAGGAUCAGGAUAGUGGCUCUCAUAAAUUCCUGUGCUUUAGUAUCUAUCCCUGCUGCUCAUGUAAAGAGCUCUGGUUUCAACUGGCCCUGGGCUCUGUGCAGAGAUUGACAUGGACUUUGAUUUCUACAGGGGACCUUCCUGCACUUUGCCUCUGUUCUUGAGAAAAAGCCACUCUCAAAAGCAAGUCAUCCUUUUCUGCAAGUUUCUUUUCAGAGGAACUUCCUUCUGUGGCAGUAAUCAGCGGGCCUUGUUCACAAGGGUCUCUAAUGCCCUGGCCUAGGCAGGGUAACUCUUCCCUUGUGAGUCCCCCAAUCCUUCAUCCGUCCUUGAUAUUCUCCUCCUUUGAGUCUCUAGUCUAGUAUCCUUGCUUCUGUCAGUUGGUGCAAAAUCCUUGUCCUGGCUCUUCCCUUUGGCCUGAAGCUUAGGGACCCAAGGUGUUUCCCUUUGGCCUCCAUAAGGACACACAGCACCUGGAAAGCUGCCAUGGCCCCAUUGGAAAUACUCUGGAGAUGGGACUCUGAGACCUUAGAAGCCAACCCAACUGAAUUAAGGAGCACUGCAAGGGGACAGCCCAGUGACUGGUACUGGAGCCCUACCUCAAAUUUGAGCUUUGACUCACCAGCAAUCUCCUUUUUAAAGCAUGGUUGGCUUGGAUUUGGGGCAACCAGCAUUCUUGGUUGUAGGAGACACUGCUUUGUUGCCGGAGCCCAUAGACCACUUCAGCUUUUGGGAGUUUCUCACAAUGGCUCUUAUGAUAUCUUCCAAUUGUGGUUUAGGAGAUAAGACCCCCUUGGUAUUGACCAUCGCCCUGGAAUCUCUGGCCCUUGAAGCAAUUUCUGAAUUGAUCUCUAAAAUCCUUUUCCUAAAGUAGAAACUAAACUUAGAGAAGUGCCCUCUUUUAUGGGUUCUUCUCUCCAGGUUCUCUUGCUCCUCUCGCUCUGGGGCAUUGCUGUUUUAUGUCUGGAAUCUCUUGAGACACUUCCACUCUCAUCUCUUUGCUCGUUUCCUUACGUUGCUCAACUUGUAGUCAGCUCUGCACUAUUAGCCCUUCACAAAGUCCAAAGUCCCACUUCUCCAGAUUAUUUUUUAUGAUGCAGGGUGAGAGAGGCUGAAAAGUCCGUCUUUUUUUCUCCUCACUGAGGGGAGUGGGGAGGAUUUCACAGGCCCAUGACCAGUAUUUGAUAGGGAUCCUUCUCAGAAUUCUCUGGUGGAAACUGAAUUUUAUGUGAUCACUUUGUCUCUGACCUGCAUGAGUUUUCCCCAAGGAGCUUGGCAAUCUCACUAUGGUGUCAGCUUCUGAAAUAUGGGUGACUAGGGAGAAAAAGACUAGGACAGAUUUUGUAAUUGGGCUUCUCUCACUUUUAAAUAGCUUUAAGAAUUCAAGGAUCUUGAGGGGUAGGCCCUACCUCUGCCGUACCCAAAGCUGAAUGUGAUUUUUUUAGCGCAUGUUGAAAGUUUGGAUCAGGAAAGGAGAGCUCUGGAAUGGUAUUCAGGUGAGGUUCCCCUUGGAUAGUUUGAACUGUUGGUGGUAACUAUUUCUCCAGAGAGAAUUUCUUUGAAAGAUUAGAGGCUGAGGUUUACAACCUUUAAGCUCCUUCUGGGCAGCUUCUCUCAUCAUAGUCCAGUUUAUCAAUUAAAAUGCAAAAAUGACCUUUCUGCUGUGUGAAGAGAUCUUGAGGUCAGAAUUUGUAUAGGAAAUUAAUUACAAAUACAAAACCAUCACUCACUUUACUCCCAGUUCAGCCUGUUAGUUCUUAAUUUUAGGUAUCUCUAGCCUUCCUUGCUGAUCAACCUAGAUUCCUCCUCCAGUACUAGAGCUAAAUCUUUUAGUUCUCUUAUUUAUUGCAGAAGGAAUCAAGCUCUUUACUUACUGGA